rnacentral:rRNA from 1 species
UGGGGAAUUUUGGACAAUGGGCGAAAGCCUGAUCCAGCAAUGCCGCGUGUGUGAAGAAGGCCUUCGGGUUGUAAAGCACUUUUGUCCGGAAAGAAAUCCUUGGCUCUAAUACAGUCGGGGGAUGACGGUACCGGAAGAAUAAGCACCGGCUAACUACGUGCCAGCAGCCGCGGUAAUACGUAGGGUGCAAGCGUUAAUCGGAAUUACUGGGCGUAAAGCGUGCGCAGGCGGUUUGCUAAGACCGAUGUGAAAUCCCCGGGCUCAACCUGGGAACUGCAUUGGUGACUGGCAGGCUAGAGUAUGGCAGAGGGGGGUAGAAUUCCACGUGUAGCAGUGAAAUGCGUAGAGAUGUGGAGGAAUACCGAUGGCGAAGGCAGCCCCCUGGGCCAAUACUGACGCUCAUGCACGAAAGCGUGGGGGAGCAAACAGGAUUAGAUACCCUGGUAGUCCACGCCCCAAACGAUGUCAACUAGUUGUUGGGGAUUCAUUUUCCUUAGUAACGUAGCUAACGCGUGAAGUUGACCGCCUGGGGAGUACGGUCGCAAGAUUAAAACUCAAAUGAAUUGACGGGGUCAUAGCUGUUUCCU